rnacentral:rRNA from 1 species
GAUGAACGCUGGCGGCGUGCCUAAUACAUGCAAGUCGAACGAGGUGCUUUUGUAGUAAUACGAAAAGUGUCCUAGUGGCGAACGGGUGAGUAACGCGUUGGUGACCUACCCCAAAGUGUGGGAUAACAGUUCGAAAGGAUUGCUAAUACCGCAUGUGGUCUUCGGAUUUAGAAACUGAUGACUAAAGGAGUAAUCCGCUUUGGGAGGGACCUGCGUCCCAUCAGCUAGUUGGUGAGGUAAUGGCUCACCAAGGCUACGACGGGUAGGGGACCUGAGAGGGUGACCCCCCACAAUGGAACUGAAACACGGUCCAUACACCUACGGGUGGCAGCAGUAGGGAAUAUUGCACAAUGGGCGAAAGCCUGAUGCAGCAACGCCGCGUGUGCGAUGAAGGCCUUCGGGUCGUAAAGCACUUUUCUGGGAGAUGAGCAAGGACAGUAUCUCAGGAAUAAGUCUCGGCUAACUACGUG